rnacentral:rRNA from 1 species
GACUUGACAUCUCGAGAAUCCUUUGUAAUGGAAGGAGUGCCUUAGGGAACUCGAAGACAGGUGGUGCAUGGCUGUCGUCAGCUCGUGUCGUGAGAUGUUGGGUUAAGUCCCGCAACGAGCGCAACCCUCGUUCUUAGUUGCCAGCAUUAAGUUGGGCACUUUAGGAAGACUGCCGGUGACAAACCGGAGGAAGGUGGGGAUGACGUCAAGUCAGCAUGCCCCUUACGUUCUGGGCUACACACGUACUACAAUGGUUGGGACAAAGGGCAGCGAACUCGCAAGGGUAAGCGAAUCUCAUCAAACCCAGCCUCAGUUCAGAUUGCAGGCUGCAACUCGCCUGCAUGAAGGAGGAAUCGCUAGUAAUCGCAGGUCAGCAUACUGCGGUGAAUUCGUUCCCGG